AGUUUGAUCCUGGCUCAGGAUGAACGCUAGCGGCAGGCCUAAUACAUGCAAGUCGAACGGUAACAUGAGAGCUUGCUCUUGAUGACGAGUGGCGCACGGGUGCGUAACGCGUAUGCAACCUACCCUUUACUGGAGGAUAGCCCGAAGAAAUUCGGAUUAAUACUCCAUGGUACUAUAAAGCAGCAUUACUUAAUAGUUAAAGAUUUAUUGGUAAAGGAUGGGCAUGCGUGACAUUAGUUAGUUGGUAAGGUAACGGCUUACCAAGACGAUGAUGUCUAGGGGUUCUGAGAGGAAGGUCCCCCACACUGGUACUGAGACACGGACCAGACUCCUACGGGAGGCAGCAGUAGGGAAUAUUGGUCAAUGGACGGAAGUCUGAACCAGCCAUGCCGCGUGCAGGAAGACGGCUUUCUGAGUUGUAAACUGCUUUUAUAUAGGAACAAAUAGGCCAUGCGUGGCAAGUUGCGUGUACUAUAUGAAUAAGCACCGGCUAACUCCGUGCCAGCAGCCGCGGUAAUACGGAGGGUGCAAGCGUUGUCCGGAUUUAUUGGGUUUAAAGGGUGCGUAGGUGGCUAAUUAAGUCAGUGGUGAAAGCCUGCAGCUCAACUGCAGAGGUGCCAUUGAUACUGGUUAGCUUGAGUAUGGACGAGGUAGGCGGAAUUUGUGGUGUAGCGGUGAAAUGCAUAGAUACCACAAAGAACACCGAUAGCGAAGGCAGCUUACUGGACCAUAACUGACACUGAGGCACGAAAGCGUGGGGAGCGAACAGGAUUAGAUACCCUGGUAGUCCACGCCGUAAACGAUGCUCACUCGAUGUAUGCGAUAUACUG
rnacentral:rRNA from 1 species